rnacentral:rRNA from 1 species
UGGGGAAUUUUCCGCAAUGGGCGAAAGCCUGACGGAGCAAUGCCGCGUGGAGGUGGAAGGCCUACGGGUCGUCAACUUCUUUUCUCGGAGAAGAAACAAUGACGGUAUUUGAGGAAUAAGCAUCGGCUAACUCUGUGCCAG